rnacentral:rRNA from 1 species
GACGAACGCUGGCGGCGUGCUUAACACAUGCAAGUCGAACGGAAAGGCCCUGCUUUUGUGGGGUGCUCGAGUGGCGAACGGGUGAGUAACACGUGAGUAACCUGCCCUUGACUUUGGGAUAACUUCAGGAAACUGGGGCUACUACCGGAUAGGAGCUCCUGCUGCAUGGUGGGGGUUGGAAAGUUUCGGCGGUUGGGGAUGGACUCGCGGCUUAUCAGCUUGUUGGUGGGGUAGUGGCUUACCAAGGCUUUGACGGGUAGCCGGCCUGAGAGGGUGACCGGCCACAUUGGGACUGAGAUACGGCCCAGAGUCCUACGGGAGGCAGCAGUGGGGAAUAUUGCACAAUGGGCGGAAGCCUGAUGCAGCAACGCCGCGUGCGGGAUGACGGCUUUCGGGUUGUAAACCGCUUUCGCCUGUGACGAAGCGUGAGUGACGGUAAUGGGUAAAGAAGCACCGGCUAACUACGUG